AGGAUCGACCUCGACUCCUCUUUCGUUUGCAACAUGCCUCGGCAGCUUGCUGGACAGCACUCCAUAAGUGCGCUAAUUCGAACUCAACAGUAUGAGUUAUCUCUAUCUGUCAAACAACUUGGUCCACCGGAUGCCCCUCUUCUGCUUGGGACUCUGCCAUCAUGUCAUCAACAUGGCAUUUGCUUUCACGAUGAAUCAUAUCAUGAAACAAAGUCACCCUAGACUUCUGAUACUUGGCACCGGCCUUCUCG
rnacentral:lncRNA from 1 species